UACGAAGGGGGCUAGCGUUGCUCGGAAUCACUGGGCGUAAAGGGUGCGUAGGCGGGUCUUUAAGUCAGGGGGGAAAUCCUGGAGCUCAACUCCAGAACUGCCUUUGAUACUGAGGAUCUUGAGUUCGGGAGAGGUGAGUGGAACUGCGAGUGUAGAGGUGAAAUUCGUAGAUAUUCGCAAGAACACCAGUGGCGAAGGCGGCUCACUGGCCCGAUACUGACGCUGAGGCACGAAAGCGUGGGGGGCAAACAGG
rnacentral:rRNA from 1 species